rnacentral:rRNA from 1 species
GCAUAUCAAUAAGCGGAGGAAAAGAAACCAACAGGGAUUACCUCAGUAACGGCGAGUGAAGCGGUAACAGCUCAAAUUUGAAAGCUGCCAACAGGCCGCGUUGUAAUUUGUAGAAGCUGCUUUGGGUGUCGGCCCGGUCUAAGUUCCUUGGAACAGGACGUCAUAGAGGGUGAGAAUCCCGUAUGUGAUCGGUGCCGUUGCCCGUGUAAAGCGCUUUCGACGAGUCGAGUUGUUUGGGAAUGCAGCUCAAAAUGGGUGGUAAAUUUCAUCUAAAGCUAAAUAUUGGCCAGAGACCGAUAGCGCACAAGUAGAGUGAUCGAAAGAUGAAAAGCACUUUGGAAAGAGAGUUAAACAGUACGUGAAAUUGUUGAAAGGGAAGCGCUUGCAACCAGACUUGCGGGCGGUCGAUCAUCCGAGGUUCUCCCCGGUGCACUCGAUCGUUCUCAGGCCAGCAUCGGUUUCCGGGGUGGGAUAAAGGCGGUGGGAAUGUGGCUCUUCGGAGUGUUAUAGCCCACCGUGCAAUGCCGCCACUGGGGACCGAGGACCGCGCUUCGGCUAGGAUGCUGGCGUAAUGGUUGUAAGCGACCCG